GCCUGGCUGCAGAGUUCUGGACGUACUGGAGCCUGUCCAGGGCUUUGCUGGUGACCCCGAACAGGACUCCAUUGCAGUAGUCCAGGCGUGAGGAGAUUAAUUAAUGUUUCUGCAACGGGGUCGGGAGAGAGGGCCGGAGUCUAGAGAUGUUUUGAAGGUGGAAGAACGCAGUUUUGACAGUUGACGUGAUGUGGGAGUUGAAGGUGAGGCUAGAGUCCAGAGUGACGCCCAGGCUGCAAACCUCAGGGGAAGGGUGGAUGGAGCAGCCAUCGAUGGUGAGGAGGAGAUCUCCGACCUUCCGGAGCAGUGUUUUUGGGGCCACAACCAUGAGCUCUGUUUUGUUUUUAUUGAGUCUCAGUAGAUUUGUUGACAUCCAGGUUUUGAUGUCGUGGAGGCAGUUGACUACUGACGGUGGGGGUAGCUGGGAUGAUGGAUUGGUGCUAAUGUAGAGUUGGGUGUCGUCGGCAUAGGAGUGGAAGUUGAGACCAUGUUGGCGGAUGAUUUCACCGAGGGGGAGCAUGUAGAUGUUAAAUAGAAGGUUGGGUGCAAAGCCUGCAGGCAGCAGUGAGACUCGGCCCCCCGCAGCUGUAGUGACCCUUACCGCUGCAAGAUGGACUAUCCCUGCAUCGGAACCUGUCUGAUCAUCAACAAGAACUUCCACCCAAGCACAGGUACACACUGGAUGAAGGAGAUUGUCCCUCUGAUCAUGAGUGGAGGAGAUCCAGAACCUGUUGACAAUAUUGUUAACUGGAAACGUGUUCCCUGGCUUGAAUUGCAGCAGACCGCCUCCCUCGAACUUGAACAGAGGCCCUCUCCACGACUGUUGACUACACACUUCCAGUACAACAUGA